ACCAGCCACAUGGUAUCCUGAGAACUCAACCAUUAGGGAUUAGAUGCUAUGGAGACUGGCCUAGAGGAGAAAGCAAUGCAACAGAUCAAUAACACAUGGAUAAGCUCUGAUGGCCAUCAUCACGAAUGGCCUCCCUAGCAACUUGCCAAGCACUGCAAAGAUGGAAAUAUGGGAUUUAGAUUGAUACUCAAAUUUGUUAAGUUGUACAUUGCUACGUACAUGGAUAAACAAACAUGUCAGCAUAAAU
rnacentral:lncRNA from 1 species